GGUAGGGUGGCCGAGCGGUCUAAGGUGUUGGAUUAAGGCUCCAGUCUCUUCUGGGGUGUGGGUUUGAACUCCACUGCUGCCA
rnacentral:tRNA from 1 species